rnacentral:rRNA from 1 species
UAAGACGUAGGGGGCGAGCGUUGUCCGGAUUCAUUGGGCGUAAAGAGCGCGUAGGCGGUUCGGAAAGUCGGAUGUGAAAACUCGGAGCUCAACUCCGGGCCUGCAUCCGAUACUCUCGGACUAGAGGUAGGUAGGGGAGAUCGGAAUUCCUGGUGUAGCGGUGAAAUGCGCAGAUAUCAGGAGGAACACCGGUGGCGAAGGCGGAUCUCUGGGCCUUACCUGACGCUCAGGCGCGAAAGCUAGGGGAGCGAACAGGAUUAGAUACCCUGGUAGUCCUAGCCGUAAACGUUGGGUGCUAGGUGUGGGCGGACAUCGACCCCGUCCGUGCCGAAGCUAACGCAUUAAGCACCCCGCCUGGGGAGUACGGCCGCAAGGCUA